CGGAGGGGUGAGUAACACGUGGGCAACCUGCCUGUAAGACUGGGAUAACUCCGGGAAACCGGGGCUAAUACCGGAUAAUUCAUUUCCUCUCAUGAGGAAAUGCUGAAAGACGGUUUCGGCUGUCACUUACAGAUGGGCCCGCGGCGCAUUAGCUAGUUGGUGAGGUAAUGGCUCACCAAGGCAACGAUGCGUAGCCGACCUGAGAGGGUGAUCGGCCACACUGGGACUGAGACACGGCCCAGACUCCUACGGGAGGCAGCAGUAGGGAAUCUUCCGCAAUGGACGAAAGUCUGACGGAGCAACGCCGCGUGAGCGAUGAAGGCCUUCGGGUCGUAAAGCUCUGUUGUUAGGGAAGAACAAGUAUCGGAGUAACUGCCGGUACCUUGACGGUACCUAACCAGAAAGCCACGGCUAACUACGUGCCAGCAGCCGCGGUAAUACGUAGGUGGCAAGCGUUGUCCGGAAUUAUUGGGCGUAAAGCGCGCGCAGGUGGUUCCUUAAGUCUGAUGUGAAAGCCCACGGCUCAACCGUGGAGGGUCAUUGGAAACUGGGGAACUUGAGUGCAGAAGAGGAAAGUGGAAUUCCACGUGUAGCGGUGAAAUGCGUAGAGAUGUGGAGGAACACCAGUGGCGAAGGCGACUUUCUGGUCUGUAACUGACACUGAGGCGCGAAAGCGUGGGGAGCGAA
rnacentral:rRNA from 1 species